ACACAUUAAUUGUCCCCUCUCUCUCUCUCUCUCUCUCUCUCUCUCUCUCUCAGGAGUACUUUCAGGUGCGUUUGGUUCGCACUAUAAAAGAUUACUAGGAGUAAAAAGAUAUUCGAAAAUUUUAUUCCUAUUCAUUCUAUUACUAAGAAUAUAGUAUUUCGGUGUUUGAUUCGUACGGUCGUAUUAUUUAGUCAUGUUAUUUAAGAUUACGAAAAAUAUACAAUUAACUUAUUUAUUUUUUAAAUUAAUUUUCAAUAAUAUUAUAAAAAAUUUCAACAUCCUUUUAGAAAAAAGAGGGAGAGAAUAUAGGUUAGAAAGAGAGAGCAUAAUUAAAGAAAUGUGAAGAGAAAUAGAAUCGAGAUUGGAGAGAAUGAGAGGGUUGAGAUUUUAGAAAAAGAGGGAGAGAAAUAGCUUAGUUUAGAGAGAGAAAAAGAGUUGAAGUUUAGAGAGAGAUAUAAGAUUAGAGUGUAAAGAAAAAUAAUACCAACUAGCCGACUGAUGGGAAGAAAGAAAGAGAUUAGACAUAUUAUAAUUACUCCAAUCCAUUAAUAUAUAUAAGGAAAUCUACCAUCUCUCAAAGGAAUGAGAUUAGUACUUUGGGAUGCAUCUCAUUCUCAAGUAAAUCCAGUAUUACCUACUAGAUUACUUAGUGCGUUUAGCCAAACACCGCCAUUUUUUUUAUUCCUAUUAGAUUAUUAGGAAUCUUAAAAAGAUAGUGUGAACCAAACGCACCCUCAGGGUAAUAUAUAUGAUCCUAAUCUUAGCACAGCAUAAUAAAUUAUCAUUGAUUAGAGGAAUUGGCUGAUAUAUAUCUUAUCUACAUAGCGGCGAAUCAAAUUCAAAUCUUACUUCUUGUUGAAUAUAAUUAUUAAAACCAUCAUUCUCCAGCAGCUUAAACUCUUAGAUAUUAACAGUUGUUUUAUUUGAUUUAACACUUCUUGAAAAAAUUAAAGGUAUAUGCAUUGCAGCUCAAGGUGAUAUCUCAAAAUGACAAUUUUAGAAAAAUAAUAGUGUGGUGCUAGCCGUAGGUUUCGCAGAAUGCACACUACAACAGAAUUAGGUUAUAGGGAUAUAUGUUUGGGACACUUUUGUGUAAGUGUCCCAUUUAUGCCAAAACUUAAAAAUAAAUCUACUAAUGCCUAAAUAUAAAGCUCAAUCCAACCAAAAAUAAAAAUGUUACUUUUCUCAACCCACCCCACCCAGCCCAUUCAAUCCGAUUACAAAUAGAAAAGAAAAAAAAAAAGAAAAAUCGAUUACCAUCUCCCCUUCUCUCCUCACUCAAUCCACUAAAAUCCUAGACGAAGAUCCCUUCCUCUUGUCCUUCUCCGCCACCGCAGCCAACGAGGUAGAGUUCCGACGGUUGCUAAAUGCUUAAAUAAGUAUUGGUAAAUUAGCAGCACUCUUUUACGUUAUUGCGACACUCUUUAAUUGUCACUAUAUUCCCAGCGACCCCACAUAUAGCAAUACUUUUUAAAAGUGUCGGUAAUUUAGCCAGCAACACUUUUUUUGACCUAUACUGACAUUUAAAAGUGUCGCUAUAGACCGUUUUUGUUGGAGUGGCAAUCUUUUAUAAGUAGUUGUUAGGAUUUGGUUAGAUUUAUAUAUAGUUGAUUUCUAGUUGAUUAAUUAGCAUAAAUAUUUAAAUCUAGUAGGGAUAAAUUAAUUUGAAUUUAGAUAUUCUAAUUAGAGAAUGAUUGAUAGUUUUAAAUUAAGUAGUCUAAUACAAAAGAGUCUACAAGAUAAGGCUUUAGGUUAGCCUCAUCCUGUAUGGGCAGCUAUUGAUCAUUAUUGUAUUAGAAUUAGAAUUGGAUGUUGACAUUACAUGGAGUAGGCUAAUUGUGCUAAAGGUGUACGGCCGAAGGCUGCUCCAAGACGUUAUUGUACGGCAGAAGGCAUGGAAUACGAGAGAAAAGCUUGGCUGCAUCUAGUGCAUGGGCGCACAUGGAGAGCUGUCUUUUGGAUUUAUAAAAAACAAGAGAAUGAUGAAAAAUUCAGAAAAAAAAAUUUGAGUUGAAAUUACUCUAUUGCAGCAGAAGAGUCAGUCAUAAUUUUUUCUUAAUUAGUGAAUCUUAUUUUAUCCGCAUAAUUUUUUUAUUUAGUUUUUUUUUUCUCUUUUUUGGUUGUAUUAUCUUUUGCUAAGAAAACGGGUGUAUGGUAAAAAUUCGAUUUAAUUUAAUAUAUUAUGUAAGGACUGAGAUUUUUGACAGUGUAACUAAACUCUCGGUUGAUGAUAUUUAUGUGUGUAAUUUAAUUACAUAAGCACUCGUCAAGUUUCAGGAGAAACUGAGCUAAAACGGAGAAGUUACGCGAUUAUUAGUUUUCACUUAAAGUGAAUAGUAACUCUGGUUUUCCGGAGAAGCCAUAGAGUAGAGUUGGCUUUCGGCGCGUAUCGGACUCCGAGCUUAGGACUCCAAUAGCUCGUUUCGACCGGUUCAGCUGUUCUGGGACUAUUGGCGCUGACGGAUUUUGAGUUUGAUGCACGGAUUUCGAGAAAAUCCAAUAAAACGUGUUUUAUAUGUAUUUGUGCGUGAUUUUUGGCCUUUUGGACAGAGAGUGGAUUUCGUCGCAAAUCCGCGACCGUUUGAGGUGAAACGAAAUCGUAGCUUUGUUGUCUCCGAGGUGCUGAUCGCACUGGUGCGAUCCGUUCGCAAAUCCGACGGACGGAUCUGCGGAGAUCGCACGUUGAUCGAGGGGAGGUCGGUGAGGGCAAAUUGGUAUUUUUGCGAAAGUCGCGAUAUUUUAUGUACCAUUUUGUGUGAGAUCGCACGUGGAGGGGUAUUCAGGCAUU
rnacentral:lncRNA from 1 species